AUCACUGUGACCACCAUUUCACCAGGCUGACACACUGCGAGGUUAGCAUCAUCUGAAAUCUCUGCUCCUGGAAAGAGGUACAGACUGGGACCUGCUCCAUAUCUUCUGAGGACAGAGAUGAUCUGUCCUUGGUUGCAUUUAAACUGAAGGCAAAGAGAGUGGAAACAAGAUGCAGCCCUGUCAAGUCUCAAGGAAUGCAUGAUAUUUGCCUGCUGCUGCAAACGAAGCCUUCCUUGGUGACAGAGGCAGAGACAACAGAAUUCUCUGUUUGAGAUGAAUAAUAGGUCGAAUACGGUAUGUGACGGCACUGUAGACUCCGAAGAUAGAACAUGAACAAAUAUAUUAUUCUGGAAAGCUGGCAUAAGAACGCUCUGAGGAUUUAGAAGCAUCUCAACUACCAGACAGGCAGCUGGGGUGAGAUCCAGGUCUUGUCUUCUGCUGGAAUAGCUCAGUCUUUCUAAAGUAUGAACGGCAUCCUCCCAGCCUCUGUUUUCUGGACGUAGUGGCCCUGCAGAUUCCUGAGCGGAGACAAC